CUUCGUAUGCAGGUCCAUGAACAUAAUCAUCCUCACAUUCUUCUUUUGCAAGUUUGGAACACAUUCUGCAAACUUCCUGGUGGACGCCUGAAGCCUAGAGAAUGAGAUUGAGGGUUUGAAAAAGGAAGCUGACUAGCAAGCUUGGAGCUAAUUCACCUGCUCUUGUACCAGACUGGCAGGCACCGAUUUUUCAAUAUCUUUCUAAGAUGAGUAGACAAGUCAUCCUUUCCUGUGAUCUAUUUUUUUUUUUACAUUUUCUUUUAAUGCAUAAUUCAGUUCCUUGUUAUCUUGUUGUAGAUUGGUGAGUGCGUGGCCAUCUAGUGGAGGCCCAACUUUGAGACCAUAAUGUAUCCAUAUUGUCCUCCCCACAUAACAAAACC